rnacentral:rRNA from 1 species
AUUGAACGCUGGCGGGAGGCCUUACACAUGCAAGUCGAACGAGUGGCGGACGGGUGAGUAAUGUAUGGGAAACUGCCCGAUGGCGGGGGAUAACUACUGGAAACGGUAGCUAAUACCGCAUACUAUCGGAUCUGCCCAGAUGGGAUUAGCUAGUAGGUGGGGUAAAGGCUCACCUAGGCGACGAUCCGUAGCUGGUCUGAGAGGAUGACCAGCCACACGGGAACUGAGACACGGUCCAGACUCCUACGGGAGGCAGCAGUGGGGAAUAUUGGACAAUGGGGGAAAGCCUGAUGCAGCCAUGCCGCGUGUAUGAAGAAGGCCUUCGGGUUGUAAAGUACUUUCAGCAGGGAGGCGUUAUCUGCAGAAUAAGCACCGGCUAACUCCGUGCCAGCAGCCGCGGUAAUAC